rnacentral:rRNA from 1 species
CAGUCGCCGCGGGAAUACGUAGGUGGCAAGCGUUGUCCGGAAUUAUUGGGCGUAAAGGGCUCGCAGGCGGUUUCUUAAGUCUGAUGUGAAAGCCCCCGGCUCAACCGGGGAGGGUCAUUGGAAACUGGGAAACUUGAGUGCAGAAGAGGAGAGUGGAAUUCCACGUGUAGCGGUGAAAUGCGUAGAGAUGUGGAGGAACACCAGUGGCGAAGGCGACUCUCUGGUCUGUAACUGACGCUGAGGAGCGAAAGCGUGGGGAGCGAACAGGAUUAGAGACCCGAGUAGUCCCUGUCUCUUAUAC